UCCGCCCGCUCCCGGCCCCGCUCCGCCCGCUCCCGGCCCCGCCGCCUCACAUCCGUGUCCGGAGGGCGCAGGGCGGGCGGAGCCGGGCCCGGAGGGGUUGUGGCAGCGGCUCGCUCGGCCGUUGCGGUGUCGCGUCGCGUCAGUGCGCGGUGAGAGCUCGCCGCGUUCCCCGCAGCUCCGUGCUGCCGCCCCGGGAGUUUUCCGUCGCGUCACGGCAGCGGCCGGUCUGCGAUGACGACCAUCAGCGACCUGCCCGAGGACGUGCUGGUGGAGCUGCUGUCGCUGCUGCCGGCGCGGGAGCUGAUCCGCAGCUGCAGGCUGGUGUGCGCGCAGUGGCGCUACGUGGUGGAUCUCACCACGCUGUGGAAGCGCAAGUGCCAGCGCGACGGGUUUUACCUGCAGAGUUUGGACAGAAGCAUCUCGGACUGGAAGAUCUUCUACAUGCUCUGCCACUUGAAGAGAAACUUAAUCAAAAACCCCUGUGCUGAAGAGAAGUUUAAGCACUGGAAACUUGACCGUAAUGAGGGAGAUAGAUGGAAGAUUGAGACUAUGCCUGGAGCUCAUGGAACAGAGAUGCCAAACCACACAGUACACAAAUACUUUGUCACUUCAUAUGGGCCAUGCUUCAAGUCUCAACUCAUCACCCUGAAGAAAGAAGGAUACUGGAAUCAGUUGAUGGAUGAGAAGCGGCCUGAAAUUGUAGUCAAGGACUGGUACGCUGCCAGGUUUGACUGUGGCUGUCGCUACGAGCUCACAGUGAAGCUGCUGUCUGAAGACUACAUUGUCCUGGAGGAGUUCCACCCCGAGCCAGUGGUUAUUGAGCAAUGGAGUGAUGCAAUGUGGAGAGAGAUUUCUCACACCUUCCAGAAUUACCCAGCUGGAGUGCGUUACAUCUGGUUUCAGCACGGAGGCCAAGACACCCAGUUCUGGGCAGGAUGGUAUGGGAUCCGAGUGACAAACAGCAGCAUCACCAUUGGGCCCCAAACAGGCUUCUGAAGGCACAAUAUAAGUGUUUGCUUUUACCCCAAGACUGUACCAGCUGGUCUCAGGAGAACGUCUGCAGGCCCAGCCCUUGGGAAGGACUCUGUCUCUCAGCUUUCAUCCUCCUGUUCCCUGGAUGCUUCUGCA